rnacentral:rRNA from 1 species
GACGAACGCUGGCGGCGUGCUUAACACAUGCAAGUCGAACGGAAAGGCCCUGCUUUUGUGGGGUGCUCGAGGGGCGAACGGGUGAGUAACACGUGAGUAACCUGCCCUUGACUUUGGGAUAACUUAAGGAAAGUGGGGCUAAUACCGGGUAGGAGCUCCUGCCGCAUGGUGGGGGUUGGAAAGUUUCGGCGGUUGGGGAUGGACUCGCGGCUUAUCGGCUUGUUGGUGGGGUAGUGGCUUACCAAGGCCUUGACGGGUAGCCGGCCUGAGCGGGGGACCGGCCACAUUGGGCCUGAGAUACGGCCCAGACGCGAAUGGGAGGCAACGGUGGGGAAUGUUACACAAUGGGCGGGAGCCUGAUGCGGCCACGCCGCGUGGGGGAAGACGGCCUUCGGGUUGUAAACCGCUUUCGCCUGAGACGAAGCGUGAGUGACGGUAAUGGGUGAAGAAGCACCGGCUAACUACGUG